rnacentral:rRNA from 1 species
AUUGAACGCUGGCGGAAUGCUUUACACAUGCAAGUCGAACGGCAGCACGGGGGCAACCCUGGUGGCGAGUGGCGAACGGGUGAGUAAUACAUCGGAACGUGCCCAGUCGUGGGGGAUAACGUAGCGGAAGUUACGCUAAUACCGCAUACGAUCUACGGAUGAAAGCGGGGGCCCGUAAGGCAUCGCGCGAUUGGAGCGGCCGAUGUCAGAUUAGGUAGUUGGUGAGGUAAAGGCUCGCCAAGCCGACGAUCGGUAGCUGGUCGGAGAGGACGACCAGCCACACUGGGACUGAGACACGGCCCAGACUCCUACGGGAGGCAGCAGUGGGGAAUUUUGGACAAUGGGCGCAAGCCUGAUCCAGCCAUUCCGCGUGCAGGACGAAGGCCUUCGGGUUGUAAACUGCUUUUGUACGGAACGAAAAGGCUCUGGUUAAUACCUGGGGCUCAUGACGGUACCGUAAGAAUAAGCACCGGCUAACUACGUGCCAGCCGCCGCCGUAA